UCUUUCUUUCAAAACUGAAGUCAAAGAUAGC
rnacentral:piRNA from 1 species